CCCUAUGGGGCAGCAGCCGCGGUAAUACGUAGGGGGCAAGCGUUGUCCGGAUUUACUGGGUGUAAAGGGUGCUCAGGCGGAUUUGUAAGUCAGAGGUGAAAUCUCACAGCUUAACUGUGAAACUGCCUUUGAUACUGCAAGUCUAGAGUAUGGAAGAGAGUGAUGGAAUGUCUGGUGUAGCAGUGAAAUGCGUAGAUAUAAGAUAGAACACCAAUGGCGAAGGCAGUCACUUGGUCCAUUACUGACGCUAAAGCACGAAAGCGUGGGUAGCAAACA
rnacentral:rRNA from 1 species